CACCCUGGUUUCAACAUGUUCAGCCUGCUUCCCUCAGGGAAGCGCUACAGAUGCACAGUUACAACAACACGUUUAGCCACACUGAGGAGAGACCUUAUAAAUGUGACGUCUGUGAGAAGACUUUUAAAGCUCCACAUCAGCUGAAAAAACACCAACAGAUCCACACCAGAAACUAACUGUACAAGUGCAGUUACUGUGAGGUAUGUAUUUAUUUUUAUCUUGUAAUUUUAACCUGAUUGUUUGGAACAAGUCUGAU